UGCGUAGGGCUGUCACGGUUGAGGAAUUUUCACCGCGGUGAAAACAGGGGGCGCAAUAUCGCGGUAUGCGAUAUUAUUGCACAAUUUUUUAAAAUGCCGUUUAAGCGAGAUAAUGCACAUUUAAAUUCAAAACACACCCGUAACCGGAGUUUUGUCAGCGAACUUUUCGGACACAACGGAGCUGAAGGUUUGUGUGGAACCAGUUGCCAUGGAGAAUACGUCACCACUUUGCCAACAGUACGUUUGUUACUAAAUUUAUAUUUAUAUUACUUUACAUUGUGUAGUGCCGAACAACUCCCCUUACCUGUUCUAAAAUCAGCGCAAAGCACGGCCUCUUGGGGCUUAUUGCUUAAUUUAAAAAAGGUUAUUAAAAAAUCUCGUUGGAAGCGCGAUGUAUGCGCAGGCGCCGUUUGGGCAUAACAAUAUGGCGGCUGCCGUUCAAUGUAGUUUUCAUCACCACCGCCGGAUUAUGUUUCAUUUAUUUCAUUACAGUACGUCCCCUAAACGUUACAACAUAAUCGACACGAAUGAGCACAGCAUCGAGCAGUGGAAACGUGGGUUUAUUUACUAUGAAGUUCGUAUUUUUAAUUGUUGAAAUGAAAUCAGCGGUGACAAGCUAGUUGUUUUGGUAGCGGCUAAAUUAGCAUGUUGCGAUACUUUGUACAGGGGAUCACGUCUGCGCCGAGUAGAUGCGCAGAGGGUUGAAACAGCGCUUGUCCGGUCUGCUCACAAGAAGGUUUCUUUGGCCAGUUACUGUGAUUAAACAGAGUUGUUUAAUGUUCACAAUGUAUCGUUUUUCAUGGGGAAAAUGAGAUGCGUCCCCGGGACGCAUGGAUAGUGAGUUUAGUGCGUCCUUUCAGAUUUUAAUGCGUCAGCGACGCAGGACGCGUACCUAGCAACAUCACUGCGUAACUAAAUGAAUGAACGUUAAUGAAUGGGUAUCAUGGCAACGCACGUUUCAUUCUAGAAUUCCACGGUCAGUUUCAUGAACGCGCAACCCGCACCAGGUCAUAUGCGGUGAUCGCGAUGGCCCAUUAUCUACCGCGGUGUGCUCUAAAUAUCGCGAUAUUUCAUUUUUGCGAUUAUUGCGACAGCCCUAUGUAUGCGCGAGGUGCACAAGCAAUCCGUAUGCAUCGCAUGCGCAUGUAUGCAUGCGCCCUUAAAAUAGCAUCUGAACAACGCGCCACUGACUUUAAACCAGGUAUUUCCUGGUCAGUAGCGCAAUGGUAUUCAGAAACGGCAAAAUACCGUUUGCGCCAGAACACGCCUCCUCCUUCCGCUGAACCGCCCCCUUGGGGCGCAUGAUCAAUCCCUAAUUUACCAGCGAGUGGCGGUGGUGGGAAAAGAACGCUCUGCGCCAGUUGUAAACUAGCAACGACACAUGCGCCAGUGACUAAGUCACUUGCGCCGGAUGCAAGAUAGGGCCCUAAGUGUGUAAGAGCAUUUAAAAUCAACAUUAAAAUGACCUACGUGGUACAAAUACAAAACAAAUUAAUCUCUUCACGGGCGCUUUUGUUGAGAGCGUCAUCACUGCUCUCGGCCUACAAGAAAUGCCGCAAGAAAGCUGGGAGAUCUUCGACUUUCGACUCGGAAGUCUGGCGUUCGAGGAAUCAGGAACACACCAUAAGUGCGGACAUAUGACCCUCCCCUCAAAAUAUCAAAACGUUGCCCUGGUUGGUUGGAAUUACCACGUGGAAUUUCCCACGUGAGAAAUGACAUAUCUCCGAGGCGUGCCCUCUCCUAAACUGGCUGUGUCUCAAUUCAGGGGACGAUCCUUUGAAGGCUGCAUUCGAAGGCCGAUUGCGUCACUGCGACGCGUCAAGGCUUUCCUAUUUCGAAGGCGCCUUCAAAUGCAGCCUUCUUUUCCCGGAUUUGAAGGAUCCACCGGCUGGAUCCUUCACAGCCCAACGUAUCCCAAGAUUCAUUGCGCGUUGGAUUUUUAUUACAUAACGGCUCCAUAUUUGUCCUCCGCCGUCCGGUUUGAUUCGCAGCUGUCAGGGUUGCUAGGUGACAGGAGUGGCGCGUCAUCAGGCAAGGUAAAGGGUGUUAACGGCUUGUUACGCAAAACUGGAAAUCAGGGCCGGCGCUCAGCAUAGGCAACCUAGGCGACCGCCCAGGUUGCCUAUGCUGCCGUACAUAGGCACGCCGUACGUUUGCAACGUAAUGAUAGGCUAUAUUUUGCAUGGAUUGAUUUGUUUUAAUAUGUAAGUAGCUGGUGUUUCAACAAGCUACUGUCGUCUACCUCUGGGACUUCAUGAGCUGCGUCUCAAUUAGGCGAGUUUCAGAUGAGGCAUGCGACUUUGUUUGCCAUGCGUCAGAAUGCAUCCUGGGAUGAAAAACAUCAAAUACCUGUGAUAACUUCCGAUGCAUGGAUUGAUUUGUUUUAAUAUGGAAGUAGCCAUAGGCGUCGAUUACGCCGGGGACGCGUCCCCACCAGUUUUCGUAAAGACUAAUUUUGUCCCCACCAGAAAAAAAUAAAUAAAAUUAAUGCAGUUUUUAAAAAAUGAAUGUUAAUAGCGCGAGACGGAUGCGAACCAAUCCAUCUGGAUACGGCACACAGCCGUCAACAAUUUGCAACAAUUAUAACAUUUGGAUGAGUAGUUCUAGAAUGGGGGAGGGGUGGGUGGUACGGUGGGCGGCUCCUUCUCUGUGUAAUCUGAACCUGACUGCUUCCUGCGCACUUCCAUGGACAAUCUGCUGCGGUUGCAGCCUCAUGCAUUUGAGGAGAGGAGGUCCGGAGGAGGAACUUGUUUCUGCCAACUCACCUCUUCAUUGCCAUCUACCAGUUCCUGCCUUUCAUUAAGCUCUGAUGCACUUGGUUCCUGUUCCUUAUAAAUAAAUAAAAAUGUGUUAACUCAA